AAGGGACCUAGCGUAGUUCGGAAUAACUGGGCUUAAAGAGUUCGUAGGUGGUUGAAAAAGUUGGUGGUGAAAUCCCAGAGCUUAACUCUGGAACUGCCAUCAAAACUUUUCAGCUAGAGUAUGAUAGAGGAAAGCAGAAUUUCUAGUGUAGAGGUGAAAUUCGUAGAUAUUAGAAAGAAUACCAAUUGCGAAGGCAGCUUUCUGGAUCAUUACUGACACUGAGGAACGAAAGCAUGGGUAGCGAAGAGGAUUAGAUACCCUCGUAGUCCAUGCCGUAAACGAUGUGUGUUAGACGUUGGAAAUUUAUUUUCAGUGUCGCAGGGAAACCGAUAAACACACCGCCUGGGGAGUACGACCGCAAGGUUAAAACUCAAAUGAAUUGACGGGGACCCGCACAAGUAGUGGAGCAUGUGGUUUAAUUCGAAGAUACGCGCAGAACCUUACCAACACUUGACAUGUUCGUCGCGACUCUAAGAGAUUAGAGUUUUCGGUUCGGCCGGACGAAACACAGGUGCUGCAUGGCUGUCGUCAGCUCGUGUCGUGAGAUGUUGGGUUAAGUCCCGCAACGAGCGCAACCCUCACUUUUAGUUGCCAUCAUUAAGUUGGGCACUCUGAAAGAACUGCCAGUGAUAAGCUGGAGGAAGGUGGGGAUGACGUCAAGUCCUCAUGGCCCUUACGUGUUGGGCUACACACGUGCUACAAUGGCAUCUACAACAGGAAGCAAAACGGCAACGUUAAGCAAAUCCCGAAAAGAUGCCUCAGUUCGGAUUGCACUCUGCAACUCGAGUGCAUGAAGCUGGAAUUACUAGUAAUCGUGGAUCAGCGUGCCACGGUGAAUGCGUUCCCGGGUCUUGUACACACCGCCCGUCACACCAUGGGAGUUGGUUCUACCUUAAGGCAAGGUUUUAAACCCUUGACCACGGUAUAGUCAGCGACUGGGGUGAAGUCGUAACAAGGUAGCCGUAGGGGAACCUGCGGCUGGAUUACCUCCUUUCUAAGGAUGAGUGAAAGUAAAAUUUCACUCUAAAUAAUAUACAUCGGUAAUGUUGACCGUCCUCAUUUCUCUUCUUAAAGUAAUGUUUCCUUCUUGUAGGGCCGGUAGCUCAGUUGGUUAGAGCACACCCUUGAUAAGGGUGGGGUCGAAAGUUCGAGUCUUUCUCGGCCCACCAAAAACCUAAAUGGGGGAUUAGCUCAUCUGGGAGAGCGCCUGAUUUGCAUUCAGGAGGUAGCAGGUCCGAUCCCUGUAUCCUCCACCAGGAAACAUUUAGUUAUUAAAACUGCAAAUAAAAAUAAUUUAUAUCAAUAUCUAUAUCCGAACAUUAAAAGUUAUUAUUUAAUGUUCAAAAUAAAAAUUUGAUCACAACAUAGAUAAAUUUUCUGUUAAAAGAAUUUUUUUCUGUGCAUAAAUCAAGCGUUUAAGGGCGUGUAGUGGAUGCCUUGGCACUGAAAGCCGAUGAAGGACGUGAUAUACUGCGAUAAGUUUCGGGGAGCUGUAUGUAAGCUUUGAUCCGAAAAUUU
rnacentral:sRNA from 1 species